AGAAUGAACGCUAGCGAUAUGCUUAACACAUGCAAGUUGAACGUUGUUUCGAAUCAGAAUGAGAACAAAGUAGCGAACGGGUGCGUAACACGUGGGAAUCUGCCGAACAGUUUGGGCCAAAUCCCGAAUGAAUAAAAGCUAAAAAGCGCUGUUUGAUGAGCCCACGUAGUAUUAGGUAGUUGGUUAGGUAAAAGCUGACCAAGCCUACGAUGCUUAGCUGGUCUUUUCGGAUGAUCAGCCACACUGGGACUGAGACACGGCCCAGACUCCUACGGGAGGCAGCAGUGGGGAAUCUUGGACAAUGGGCGAAAGCCUGAUCCGGCAAUAUGGCGUGAGUGAAGAAGGGCAACGCAGCUUGUAAAGCUCUUUCAUCGAGUGUGCGAUUGUGACAAGACUCGAAUAAGAAGCCCGGCUAACUCCGUGCCAGCAGCCGC
rnacentral:rRNA from 1 species